rnacentral:lncRNA from 1 species
ACUUUAUCCUAUACUCAGCAUCUUCUGGCCUGGACUGCAGAUGGCAGGUAUUUAACACUGUUUGACAGGAGUGGAUGCCUACCAGACGGUUCACCUCUUCAGAACAGAGCCCAUUUUACUUCAUUACUCAAACAACUUCAUUGGAUUGCAGUUCAACUCUGAGCCACAUUUCAGAUUUUGUGGUCAUCAUAUAAUCUCCCUGCAUGGUUGCAUCUUGUUCUCUAGAAAAUAUCCUGGAAGCAGGCAUAUGAUUGCAGAAGAUAGACAUACAGAAGAUUGCAGAGCAAUGGGAGAUCCCACUGAAUGAAUGAAAACUUCAGUAACGCAGCCUUUGAACUCACCUUCUCAGUUUUCUAUGGGCGGUGUUCUUAAAGCCAGCCCACCCAGCAGAGCUUGUCCUAGCAUGGGGA